UUGGAGGGCAAGUCUGGUGCCAGCAGCCGCGGGUAAUUCCAGCUCCAAUAGCGUAUAUUAAAGUUGUUGCAGUUAAAAAGCUCGUAGUUGAAUUUCGGGGUCAGCAGGUUGGUCGUGCCUCUGGUACGCACUGGUUUCGCUGAUUCCUCCUUUCUGAAGAACUGUAAUGUCAUUAAUUUGGUGUUGCAGGGAAACAGGACUGUUACUUUGAAAAAAUUAGAGUGUUUAAAGCAAGCUAACGCUUGAAUACAUUAGCAUGGAAUAAUGAAAUAGGACGUUUGAUCCUAUUUUGUUGGUUUCUAGGAUUGACGUAAUGAUUAAUAGGGAUAGUUGGGGGCAUUAGUAUUCAAUUGUCAGAGGUGAAAUUCUUGGAUUUAUUGAAGACUAACUACUGCGAAAGCAUUUGCCAAGGAUGUUUUCAUUAAUCAAGAACGAAAGUUAGGGGAUCGAAGACGAUCAGAUACCGUCGUAGUCUUAACCAUAAACUAUGCCGACUAGGGAUCGGAUGAUGUUAAUUUUUUAAUGACUCAUUCGGCGCCUUACGGGAAA
rnacentral:rRNA from 1 species